rnacentral:rRNA from 1 species
GACAGAGGCCCCAAGCGUUAGGCGGAAUCACUGGGCUUAAAGCGUGUGUAGGCGGACGCCUAAGUGUCUUGUGAAAUCCCACGGCUCACCCGUGGAACUGCUGGGCAUACUGGGCGUCUUGGGCCAACUAGGGGCAGCCGGAACAAGCGGUGGAGCGGUGAAAUGCGUAGAUAUCGGAAGGAACGCCGGUGGCGAAAGCGACGUGCUGGACCCUUUCUGACGCUGAGGCGCGAAAGCCAGGGGAGCAAACGGG